AUGAAGGAGCCCCUGGGCAGCAGGAACAGGGAGGGCGGGGCACAGGUGCGGAGCCUGCAGGUCGCCUCAGACGGUGCCCAGCUCUGGCUGGCAGGGCCCAGAGCUGAGCACCCUCACUGUCAGAGACAGCAAUGCCAGGGGCAGCCGAAGGGGCUUAGAGAGAUGGUGAGUGGAAAACAACGCGUGCGUGUUGAGCCCCUACUGUGCGGCGGGCACUAUGCCAGGCAGCGUUCACUUAACUCCGAAGGCAUAUCUCUGGAGUGCAUAAUAAAGCCCCACCACUGCCACCAGCGACCAAACAGCAAGCUGAGGUCCAGAGAGCCCCAGCAGCUCGUCCAAGGUCGCACAGCCCCGGAGUGCAGGCUCUGGAUCCCUGGCACUGAUUCUUCACCACGCUGCCUGUUUAUCCUCCGCUGGCUUCAGACCACAGACGGGGAGGGCAGCGCUGAGCCUUGGCCAGGGACAAGAAACCUGCGGGUACAUCAGAUGCCACCAGCCGCCGUCGCCUCACGUGACUUCGAGAUCGUUCCCUUUUUGCUUAUUUUAACUCAGCCAAGAACUUCAAAGGAGCACCAUUCCUGGAGGAUUUGCUCAUCCACCUGUCAUGGUCUGGCUACGGAGCCUUCGAGCAGGGAGGAAACGGCCGGCCGACUCAGAGCCCGGAACAUCUGUUUCCUGUGCGUGCUGUCAAGUGGGGAAGCCGGGGCCUCGCACUCACCUCUGGCUCGGAGGGGUUGGGCCCUUGGGGAAUGGGCUGCAGCUGACAGCAUGGACUCCAGUCUGUCACGAGUGCUGGAAGAAGGUGCUGGCAGGAAGCAUUGCCAGCACGGAAAGGUGAACCAGGAUGGAGAACCUGGACUCAGAGAUGUUAAGUAAACUGGACUGGGUCACACAGCCAGGCAGUCCUGAUCUGAGGUCCCAACGGGCUCCCUCGGUCCCCAGGGUGGCCCUUGUGGCUCCUCUAAGUCUCUGUGGGAAGCCCAGUUCUUCCAGGUGUCGCUGUUUUCUGUUUCUAUUCUUUAUUUAAGCCCUGGGGGUUGGGGUGAGAGGCAAAGGGGCGGCUGUGCUGGUUUUGGCUCAACCAACUUGCCUUUGCACCUCGUCCAGACACCCAAUUCCUUUCGCCGAUGAAUUGAGAGGUGUCCGACUGGGUCACAAAGAAGUUUUCUAGGCUGACUGUAAACUCGGAAGGAGGCGGUGUCCCUGGACCUGUCCCCUUCAGGUGGAGGCUAUGCCACCGCCACGUCCACAUCUGCCCCUGUCCCACGGAGCCU
rnacentral:lncRNA from 1 species